rnacentral:misc_RNA from 1 species
GUAGGUGAACCUGCGGAAGGAUCAUUAUUGAAAUAAACCUGACGGGUUGUUGCUGGUUCCCUAGGGAGCAUGUGCACACCUUGUCAUCUUUAUAUCUCCACCUGUGCACCUUUUGUAGGCCUUUCAGGUCUAUGUUGCUUCAUUUACCCCAAUGCAUGUUAAUAGAGUGUUGUGACUAUAAUAUCUAUACAACUUUCAGCAACGGAUCUCUUGGCUCUC